rnacentral:lncRNA from 1 species
GGUUCCUCCCAAAGCUCGGCGCGGUGGGCUACCCCGAGGAGCAGGGGGGCCCCGGGGGUCUCCCCCACCGAACAGACCCUCGCACAAGGUCGGGGCUCAGUAAGUGCCCUAGCAGGCCCCAAUCACAACAGCCGCUGCCAGGCAGUCACCCACUCCGACCUCCCCGAGGCUGCCCAUUCCACUGGGGAGGAAGAACUCCCCGGCCUCUUCCUGCCCCACUCCGAAGCCGCGCGCCAGCCGGGCCUCCGUUUCUCAGCCCGUAGAGUUGUGCAGGACCCCGCCCAGCUCGCCAGAAGUCCUCCCUGCAGUGACGCACUUCUACUCUCCGAAGGCACAUCUUCCCGUGGUGGCCCGGGCGCGUUCCCGGCACGCCGGGGGCGAGAGCGCGCCCGUCCCAGCCGCCAGUCACCUUCCCAAUGCCCCCGCCCUCUCCUCACUGCGCAGACUCAACACCCUCUAGCCCUCCCCCCCAUACUUGGCCCCGCCCCGCUCCCUCCCUCCCUCCAUCCCUCGCGAGAGCGCCGGGCGGGGCCGGGCUGCAGCGGUGGAGGCGGAGCUGGGGAGAGGCGGGCGCUUAGCCGGCGUCUUCCGCAAGGAGGAGGCCUAGGCCCCCGGGGGCGAGUUGCUCUCGUUGCCUCUCUCCUCUGCGGGCGGCCUCGGGGGCGGCGCCUGCCGGCUGUGACUGAGGCCGCGGGCAAUUUCCCGGGUGGAGGCCUCCCACUCGCCAACGGCCGCCCCGACGGGCGCCGCCGCCUGACCCGGCCGGGCUUCCGUCCCCGCGGACCCGGCCUCGCUCUGACGCCGCUGCUUGGCCCGGCCGGGCUUCCGUCCUCGCGGACCCGGCCUCGUUCUGAAGCCGCCGCGGCCUCUUGGCCCGGCCGGGCUUCAGUCCCCCGUGUCCCCGCUCGGACCGCCCGCAGGGAGCGAGGAGGGGAGAGGCCGGCGCGGCCCCCGCCUCGCCUGAGCCCAGCCCAGCCCUGCAGGCCCGGCCCGGCCCGGCCCCCGCGUCGUCGGUGGUCGCCUUGUUGCGUGGCCGGCGGGGGCCAGGGCCGGGCCGGGGCCCGGGGCCUCUUCCCUCUCUCGUCCCCCCUGCCCCCCAGCCGGAGGAGGCCGGGCCGGAGCCGGCGGGGAGUGCCCCACUCCGCCCCCGCGGCCCCGCCCGCCCGCCCAUGGCCCGCCGCUGCUGCGCGUCUUCGGCCCAUGGAUUUGUGA